UACGUAGGGGGCGAGCGUUGUCCGGAUUUAUUGGGCGUAAAGCGCGCGCAGGCGGUUUCUUAAGUCUGAUGUGAAAGCCCCGGGCUCAACCUGGGAAUUGCAUUUAAAACUGUCCGGCUAGAGUCUUGUAGAGGAGGGUGGAAUUCCAGGUGUAGCGGUGAAAUGCGUAGAGAUCUGGAGGAACACCGGUGGCGAAGGCGGCCCCCUGGACAAAGACUGACGCUGAGGUGCGAAAGCGUGGGGAGCAAACAGG
rnacentral:rRNA from 1 species